rnacentral:lncRNA from 11 species
UUUCGGUUGGCCCGCUUGAUAGGGCCGUGCGGCUGUGGUGGUGUUUGUAUUUUUUUUUUUUUGGCUUGAGUUAGGAGUCGUAAUAAACAGCCGCGCGGUGGUGGCGCCACACACAAUGUGUUCAUCUUGAUGCCUUGAUGUUAUACAAUGCCUGAUCAAUUCAAGAAGGUGAUGACCUCGGAAAAGACAACAGAUACUAUACCUCAAGGCGAUUACUCUGAUCUUAAAAGGCUUCUUGCACUUCUAAAUGUCCAAUCAAGCAAGCAACAGCUGCCAGCUCUUAAUUUUGAAUGUGCUAAUAAUAGUAUGGUGAAGUCCGAGCAAUUCUGCAGCAACACUUCUGGAGAGAGAAGUAGAGGUCAAUGGCAAGAAUCAACUGAAGCUGUUGAACUUGAACGCUUUAGUAUGAAUUACAAGAAUGAAAGACAUUUUAGCCAGCAUCCACAGCAUGAAUUGUUUCAAGAUAUCUUCACAGCUUUGGUUAAGAACCGUCUUAUUUGCAGGUAUGAAACGUUUGUUUUAUUUGUUUCCUUUAUAUCCUUCCUUUGUCUCAAUAUCAGAACCCAAAAGCACACAAAAAC